UGAAAAAGUUUGAUAGUAGAAGGCAAGCACAGCAAGCUGAAGAGAAUCGAAGAGAUAUUAACCAGAUGAGUUCUUAAUCAUUUGAGACAAGGUUUUAGAGCUUCCAGUAAAACUUUUUUGAUAAAAUUUAAAUAGAAAUUUGACAAAUAUUACGUGAACUUUAAUAUGCAGCAAAUUAGAGAAAUAAUGAUAUACAUCCAAAAAAAACA